UAAAAAGAGAACAAAAUAUGACUGAAAUUCUCAUGUUCUUUUUGGUGUUAUGGUAUGUUUUCCUUGCUUUUGUUGUAAGUGGUGUAAAUGCUGGACAAUCUAUUCCUUGUGAAAGGGAUAAAGACUGCCUUAUGAUAUUAUGUUUACCUUUCUAUGUGCAUUGUCUUAAUCGUCAAUGUUUGUGCCAUUGAAUCGCUCUAGUUAAGUUAAGAAUUAAUAGUACGUUAAUAACUUGUGUCAAAAGCUUAUAAAUUUAUUAAAAAUCUUAAUAUUGUCACUCUUAUAUUAUAAGUUUGAGUGAAAUAUAUUUUGUUUUUCAUAAUGGGAAUGAUUUGAGUAUUAGCUUCAUUUAUGUUCUUAAUUUGAUUAGAACAUGUCUUUCUUUUAAUCAAAGGUAUCCUAGGUUAUUUUUGAAA